AUUGAACGCUGGCGGCAUGCCUUACACAUGCAAGUCGAACGGUAACAGGUCUUCGGAUGCUGACGAGUGGCGAACGGGUGAGUAAUACAUCGGAACGUGCCCGAUCGUGGGGGAUAACGGAGCGAAAGCUUUGCUAAUACCGCAUACGAUCUACGGAUGAAAGCAGGGGACCGCAAGGCCUUGCGCUCACGGAGCGGCCGAUGGCAGAUUAGGUAGUUGGUGGGAUAAAAGCUUACCAAGCCGACGAUCUGUAGCUGGUUUGAGAGGACGACCAGCCACACUGGGACUGAGACACGGCCCAGACUCCUACGGGAGGCAGCAGUGGGGAAUUUUGGACAAUGGGCGCAAGCCUGAUCCAGCCAUGCCGCGUGCAGGAUGAAGGCCUUCGGGUUGUAAACUGCUUUUGUACGGAACGAAAAGACUCUGGUUAAUACCUGGGGUCCAUGACGGUACCGUAAGAAUAAGCACCGGCUAACUACGUGCCAGCCGCCGCCGUAAUAC
rnacentral:rRNA from 1 species